CACGCAGGCGGUCUAUUAAGUCGGGUGUGAAAGCCCGGGGCUCAACCCCGGAACUGCACUCGAAACUGGCAGACUUGAGUACGAGAGAGGGAAGCGGAAUUCCUGGUGUAGAGGUGAAAUUCGUAGAUAUCAGGAGGAACACCAGCGGCGAAAGCGGCUUCCUGGCUCGAUACUGACGCUCAUGUGCGAAAGCGUGGGGAGCAAACA
rnacentral:rRNA from 1 species